rnacentral:lncRNA from 1 species
AGCAGCCUUUGGAUGAAGACAUAGAACUCUCAGCUCCUCCUGUGCCAUGCCUGCCUGGAUGCUGUCAUGCUCCCACCUUGAUGAUAAUGGACCAAAACUCUGAACCUGACAUCACCAGAAGACCAAGACACAGAUCACAAUCUGAGAUGAAGCCACCGAGGCUUUCGAGCCUUCACUUAGAGCAUCCUCCAGAGGAUGAAGAUGGAAGAGCAGAAAGAAGUUCCUAUGCUGAGCGAACCAGGAGUAUUAUCACUGAGCCAAGCAAAUUUCCUAGUGACCCCUGAUCCAGAACUCUCGUCAGAAAUCCUCAGUUUAAAAGGCUAGUAAAUGGAUGUUAAAGCCAAAGAACCUACAAGGGGCUCACCAGUGCUGUGAAGCCCAUCUCUUGAUGAGAAAGGUGACUUACUCUCCCCACUAAUAAAAUUAGUGAUGUUAGUGAUGCACUGACCUUAAUAAGUCUGUCACAGUCCCAGACCCAACUCACACUUGGCUCAGGUCACACUGAUUAGCCCCAAGUCUCAACAAAGCAUGUUCAAAGCUCUUUUAAUUGUUUAUUAAUUGUGUGUGUGUGAGGGGGGGUAUGUAUGUGUAUGGAUAUGUGUGUGUGAGUGUAUGGAUGUGUGUAUAUGUGGGUCU